AGGGAGCAGUCUUCCUGGGUGUGCAGUCCACCUUUACUAGAGGGAGGAGCUUCUGGAUGUACAUCGUGUUGCCUUCUGUCACUAGCCCUGCCUGCAUCUUAUGGAAUUAUCUCGGCACAGGACAGCUGUAUAAAAAAGUACCUGAUGAAGAGGGAAAGGGUACACACUCUUUUUCACCAUCUCUUAGCUAAGGGUUUCCAGAGGGAUAUGCGUCCAUCACAUCCCUGCUGGGAAGCAUGGCAGCCAGCAGGCAAUGGUUGAAGCAGCUGAGCACUAACAUCUCCAACCGAAAGCAGGAAGCACAGAGGGCACACUGGGAAGGACACCAUGCUUUGCAGCUCUCAAAACCUGCCUCCCAUGACAUACGUCUUCCAGCAUGACCACAUCUCCUACGCCUCUCAAAUGUCACCACCAACCAGACACCAAGAAUUCAGACACCAGAGACUGGAGCCUUCAAAGCAUCAUGGCUUCCAAAUGGGUGGCUAGCUUUGUGCUUCUAGGCUUGAGCAUAAUGUAAUCUAAGAGACCACGUUUUGUUUGUUUGGGGCCUUCAUCUGUCAAAUGGGGCAAGAGAUAAGGAAGUAGCUAAGAAAGACUUCAGAUGUGCUAAAGCAACCCCCAGGUUUCUGUUUUCUACAUGUGAAAGGUAAUGGUUUCAAGACUGCUCCUCACAGCAAACCGGGUUGCCAUGGAUAAUGCUACUUGGAUGCUUGGCUUUUAUGCACAGCCUUCUUUUCCACAGGCGUCAGUAACCUCAUUAGUAAAACUGACACUAUACAAACUUGGCCUUAAGCCAUUCACAAAAUUAUAGAGCAGAUCAAAUGAAUUUAUACGAUAGCCUAAAAACAAUUAUUUAAAAAAUAUCAUUAGCAUUCUUGUUUCUUGAAGGGCUAGCCUAUAGGACUGUGGCUCUAGUCAUCAGAAUUCUGUCAGUGUACAAUACUUUGGGAUUCAUUUUGCAUGGUAUUGCUAUUGCAGGUAACGAAGUGACCCACCACUCUAGGCAAAGCCUUCAAGGAAAACCGAGGAAAGACCAGACACUUAGAUGAAUGGCCAUAUCAGUCCCAAAAUAUUCCCUUUGGACAACAAGACUGGUAUCAGGAAAGAGAAUUUUCUACACUAAUAUGGGGCCUACACAUAAUGUAAAGGCCAGAAGACAUCUUGGGCUACUUGAGUUUUCUUUUUUUAAAUCAAGAAAAGCUGACAUACAACUCGUGAGACACACACAUACCGUGGUAGUAAAGCUACUGUGCUCCUCAACCGAA